rnacentral:rRNA from 1 species
GACGAACGCUGGCGGCGUGCUUAACACAUGCAAGUCGAACGGAAAGGCCCUGCUUUUGUGGGGUGCUCGAGUGGCGAACGGGUGAGUAACACGUGAGUAACCUGCCCUUGACUUUGGGAUAACUUCAGGAAACUGGGGCUAAUACCGGAUAGGAGCUCCUGCUGCAUGGUGGGGGUUGGAAAGUUUCGGCGGUUGGGGAUGGACUCGCGGCUUAUCAGCUUGCUGGUGGGGUAGUGGCUUACCAAGGCUUUGACGGGUAGCCGGCCUGAGAGGGUGACCGGCCACAUUGGGACUGAGAUACGGCCCAGACUGCUACGGGAGGCAGCAGUGGGGAAUAUUGCACAAUGGGCGGAAGCCUGAUGCAGCAACGCCGCGUGCGGGAUGACGGCCUUCGGGUUGUAAACCGCUUUCGCCUGUGACGAAGCGUGAGUGACGGUAAUGGGUAAAGAAGCACCGGCUAACUACGUG